CGCACAUUGCGCCCUUUGGUAUUCCGAAGGGCAUGCCUGUUCGAGCGUCAUUACAACCCUCAAGCUCUGCUUGGUAUUGGGCACCGUCCUUUGCGGGCGCGCCUCAAAGACCUCGGCGGUGGCGUCUUGCCUCAAGCGUAGUAGAACAUACAUCUCGCUUCGGAGCGCAGGGCGUCGCCCGCCGGACGAACCUUCUGAACUUUUCUCAAGGUUGACCUCGGAUCAGGUAGGGAUACCCGCUGAACUUAA
rnacentral:misc_RNA from 1 species